CUCUCCCUCGCUCCCUACCCCCCCUCUCUCAGCUAAGUCAGGCAUUGGGUAUUUGCAACCAGGUUUUUAAAUAAAGACAACGUGUAAAACUUUAAAAAAAAAAAUGUUUAAAGCUGUGGACGAGGCCCGAGUGGGAAGGCCUGGAUUCAAACCCCAGUACUGAAGCCCAGAAGACCAAAAAAGCCGAAAGCAAAAGCAAGAUGAAUGCAACCUUGUGCUUGACUGCCAAUGCGAAGUCCCAAGAGGCAGCAGCUCGCUCAAAACCUACCUUUUAAUGACCUUCUCAGUAGCAUUGGAUUGAAAAGGGGAACAGGAGAGCUUAUGAGAAACAAGAAAUCCAUGUCUUCAUCUGGGCUGUGAUUUCAUAUACAAAUGAGUCACCAGAUGACCUCCAAGAAGACCACCG